UUUGCUUCUAUAAAAGGGCUUUAAAUGCCUUGUAUAAGGUCUUCUUCCUAGAGCUACAAAAUAUCUAAAAAGGAUACUACUCACUUUUCCAUUUUUGACGCUCAAAUUUCACUUCAGAAUUUUCAGUUUUUUAGCUCUCUUUAGACUAAAAAAACAAAAAAAUAUAUAUAUGAAAAACUGAGAAAACCAAAAAAAAAAACUGUUACAUUAAACUGUUGGCUAAAUUUUGGAAUUUUUGUAAUUGUUCUUAGUUUCUUGGUUUGAUUUGCAACGUGUUGGGUUUCUUCCAAGGUCUAUUAGCAAUCUAGGUUAAUUCAAGCUCAAUUUUAAACCAUUUGGGUGCAUUCAUGUGAUUUGGGGUCAAUAUUUUAUUUAAACUUGGUCUUAAGUUCAUUCGUGGGUUGUUUGACCUCAUUGCUGGGUUGUUGGUCGAUUGAAUCUGCUGAUAAUUGCUCCUGUUGCUGAUCAUCUCAUUUUUUGUCUAUUUCGUUUUUCAGGUACAUAUCUUGAGCUUGUUUGAGGUACCUCUUCCUGUUGACAGCAUGAAAUAGAAAGUGGAGUAAACUCUAUGUUUUGGAACUGUUAUUUCGUUAUGAUUACAUAAUGUUCUUGUGAAGUUGUGGUUGAACAUUGUCAUUGCAUUUAGGAUGAAGGAUUUAAUUGGAAUAGGUUAUGUAAUAGAUGAACUAUGAAUUGUUAUGUCUUAGCUUUGAAUGAGGUUAAUUUCCCAAGUAUAGCAUAAGUUGUAGGUAAAUUUCUUAUUAAUUGAUUAAUAUACAUGAUGAUUGUGUUGUAAUCAGUUGUUUCACUCUUAAUCAACACCCAAAUAUGAUUUGUUGGA
rnacentral:lncRNA from 1 species